rnacentral:tRNA from 1 species
GGGCCCAUAGCUCAGCGGUAGAGCGCCCGCUUCGCAGGCGGGAGGUCGCGGGUUCGAAUCCCGCUGGGUCCA